rnacentral:rRNA from 1 species
AACGAACGCUGGCGGCAGGCCUCAAACAUGCAAGUCUAGGGGGUGCAGCAAUGCAUCACCGGCGGACGGGUGCGUAACGCGUGGGAAUAUACCUUUUGGUUUCGGAACAACUGCGGGAAACUGCAGCUAAUACCGAAUGUGCCCUAACGGGGAAAGAUUUAUCGCCAAAGGAUUAGCCCGCGUAGGAUUAGCUAGUUGGUGAGGUAAUGGCUCACCAAGGCUCCGAUCCUUAGCUG